GGCAAAAUUUAAACAACAGAUGAAAACGUUGCAUAUUCAAAACUUCUCCAAAUCAUUUCCAGGCCUGGAAAACAGUUUUUCUAAUUACAUACCUUUUCAAAAAUAACACCAGCCUUGUUCUUAAAAUAACACAAAUCUUCACGUGUCAACACGUGUUGCUGCUUUUCAGUUUCAACAACUUCACAUAGCUGCAGAGAAGCUUCAGGGUCCCUUCCAUGUAACGUAUUCAUUUGCAUUCCCAUCUUGACAGAUAUGAUGAAUAUAUUAUGAUGAGGAUGUGCACCCUAUGGAUGGACAUUUUACUAGUAGAGGUCAGCAACUUAGAAGUCAGGCGACCCAGCAGCCAGUCAUCUAUCUAGGUUGAACGAAAAACAUUGGUGGAGGAUGAGAAGAAAAGUUUAGACUGAAAAAAACACCAGAUUAUAGCUUCAUUACUGUAUGUCUAUUUUAUUCAAACAAAUGUUCAGCUUCAUUUCUGUAUCCUUUAAAAUAAAAGUCACUGAGAACUGGCGUCAAUGACUGGACUCAAACUAUAUUUUUAUGUUCAGUUACAAAACCAAAAAAGGGGGGAAAAGAAUGAGGAGCCAAUUCUUAAUGACAGAUGAAAAGCUAAACAUUCUCUACAAGGUAAACUUCCAUUCAGCUGUAUAGGAAUUAAAUUUUAGACCUUUCUGUAACCCCUGGGUUAUUUUUGUGCAUAAACCCAGGGGUAGUUCCCUUUUUACAGUUCUAUAAUAUGCAAUACAUGGUUUAAAUUUGUGAUAGCAUUUAAAUUUAUUGUAGAACAUUUGAGUUAUUUUGAGAGACUUUAUUUUUUUUAAAUAAUAUAUAAUUUGAAGCUGUAAAGAAGGGGCAGGACCAGAUUAGCUUCUGCCUCUUUCUGUCCCUUCUCGAACCUAAAUAAUGUACGUACAAGAUUCAUGUUGACUGGAGAUUUUUGUCGUGGAAAAUAUUUCAUUUUUCUAUUUUGAAAUUGAUAUGUUUUGUUUUGUUCCACAUCAAUAAAGAUUAAAUCAAAUCAAAACAUGUGGAGUAGUGUAAAUUACUACGACAUUGAAUGUAACCUCAACAGGAAACCUACGCCUGUGUGUUGUGUUCUCCCUUUCUAUUGGUCAGUCAAAACGCAACGUCAAGUUCUUUAGUUACUGAUUGGCCAGGGGACGGGACUACGACGUACGGUGAUGCAAAAAAAGAAAGGGUGUGUCGAGAGGUCAGAUCUGUCGUUGGUUCGUUGCGGCCUCUCGUCGUCAUCUCUCAGCGAGAAUACGGAAAGAAAACUCAUAUAAUGUGCUUCAAAUAGAUUUUUAUGCACAAUACAAAGCAGUGAGUUAAAGUCCGUGACAUUUAGAAAAAUAACCGAAGCAAGUGUUUGUUUUGGCUAAACUAUUAGCGCGCUAAACACUAGCACGCUACGCACUAGCACGCUAAGCACUAGCACGCUAAACUGCUAGCACGCUAAACUAUUAGCACGCUAAGCUACUAGCACGCUAAGCUUCUAGCACGCUAAACUACUAGCACGCUAAACUACUAGCACGCUAAGCUUCUAGCACACUAAAGUACUAGCACGCAAAGCUACUAGCACGCUAAACUACUAGCACGCUAAGCUUCUAGCACACUAAACUACUAGCACGCUAAGCUACUAGCACGCUAAGCUAGCGCGCCUGGAUUUUGGCCGAGCGCAAACCGCCAGCUGGCACCUCUGACUGUGGAGCUCAACAGACCGUCGACGAACGAGAGGUAAACCGGAUAGCGGCACCAGAUGACCGGGUAAAACUCAGCUGCACCUCGGGCAACGAGGCAGGUGAGACGUUCUUCAUCCAAGGUCGACGACUGAGGAGCCGGCAGAGUUGGACUGGACUCGGAUCCAUGACGGGAUUUAAAGAUUGACUUGAGGGAAAUGGCAUUUCCACGUAAGCACCAUAAACCGCAGGACGAGGAGUGUGUAAAACGCCGUGCUUGCAACCCAGAGCUUGAAGCCUUCACAGCCUUCUGCACCGAAACAAACGCCACCACUGGACUGGAGUAUGGGACAAGAGUUAAUCUAGUUGUUCAGGAGCGACUCAUCGAUGCAAAUUAUUUGAGUCGACGAAUUUAUGUAGUCGAUUAUGUUGACUACGUCGACGAGUCGUCCCAGCCCUAACACACACACACACAGGCCAUGUUGUAUCAAUCAGAAGCUUUGAUAAGCACCGACUGCUACACGACUGCUGUGUGGUGACCACGAUGAUUCACACUUCGACGGCGACCGAGCAAAGUCAAAUUGCCGAUGCAGACUGCGCGACCCAGUGAACGCUCCACAUCAAGUGAACUCUCCACAUCAAAUCAAGUGAACGCUCCACAUCAAUUGGGGAAAAGCAAGUUUGACGAUGGCGAUGUCUCACUGGCCAGAAGAUCUGCUGUGUCAGCGGGUCGGCGUUCCCAUACACCUGCACUUCAGUCGGUGGAAAUAGUUGGAGCUCUCUGACUUGCUGGUCACAUCCUGUUUGUGAGACCCCUGUGGCAACGAACAUCUCCCCUCCUCCCCAAUGCAUUCAGGAGCAGCUGUUGGAGAGAAGAGAGAGUCCAGAGAAAAUGAUGAGGACAUUUGGAAUCAUUUCCUCCACACUUUCCGCAGACGGACGGACAAAGGUACGGACCUUCCCUUUGUCUGUCUGCAUCGUCCCUGACCCCUGUCUGCCUCCCCUUUCCUCGUGUUCCUCCUGGGAAGGUGAUCCACACAUCAAAGUGCUCUGCCACCUAUUCAGGGACAAUCAGCCAAUAUGGGAUAAUUGGCUGUUGUCGUCGGUUCCCCCUCAAGCCCACAGUGCAUUUCUGACAGGAAAGGAGCAUAAAUAAAAGAAGAGAAGAAUGACAGGGCUUGUAGCCCGAAGCAGGUGAAUGGACAAUGAAAGCCAGGGAACAGUGAGCGAUGACAUGCAUAUCAAUGGUGCCACUGCAAGGUAAACAAUGACUCUUAAUCACCAGGCCAAGUUUUAAUUAAGAUGACGGCAGAGUUAAUUAUUUUCCCCUGACAGGGAUCAUUGAGCUGCGGAGUCCAUGUUCUGAUUAGGACGCUCAUCUGGAUGCUUCCAAUCCUUUAGGAAGGCGAUAAUGACAUGACCUCUUGUUUUCAGAGGACAACUGGGUGGCACAGGGAGGGAGUCCUUUUUUCUGACAUUGCUGAGUACACUUCAGGAAUUUAAUAAAUCUCACAUACAUAUCAGCAAGAACAGCACAAAGGUUCAACGAUUUAAACUCUGCAAACUACUGGGGUGGGCGUUUUCCUUUCACUGUCAUUUUUGGCAGUAUAGUGUAGCUGGUAAUAGUUUGUAUUUUUCUGACAAAUCCCUUGUGAGUAAAAACAACAGUAUUAAAUUCACCCUAAAACAUUAAUUAUCUGUCAUAAAACUUGUUCCUUUGCGCAAGAGUUGUUGCCCCAAAAUCAAUCAAUGCUGUUGCACUGGGGAAACGUUCAUCUACAGAUUAAUGUAGACUUUCACCUACCGUACAGUGUUUGAACUAAAAGUCAUUUUAAUGAAACAUUGCUGUAGAUAAUUUGCCACUGGUGACUCAUUUAGAACCACUGCAAACAGCUCCUGUGUUUGGGGUCUCCUGUCUGGAGAAUUGUCCCUGAUACUGUGUUACCAGUGUAAUUUGGGAAAGUUUCGUGGAGAAGUUGGUUGCUAUCUCUGCUGACCAGUCACUACCUGGAGCUGACCUCCCAAGAGAGAGUGUGAUUUUUGACUACAGAGUGAAGAUGUCUGCGACAGGUACAGGCAGCUGCAGAGCAACUUCAAAUGUUGUCUGACCUCCCCAUCCGUCUCCCUCCCUGCAAUUAAGUCCAUUCACUUACUUUUGGCUAAUCUCAUAUAUCUCAGCCAAAAAUCGGUUGUUUUUUUUGUUUUCUAUAAAGCUCCGGGAGGGAGCAAAAUAUAAAACUGAGACUUAUAUGCCCCCCUUCAAACCCACCUGGUCCCCGGCGACAAGUUUACUGCUUGGGCAAAGUUUGCUUGGAUAAAUUCUCCCCAAUUCAGCUCUCCAGUUAAUUUUACAGAAACCACGAGUAUAAAAAGAUAUUGUUCCGAUUUACCUGCAUUCUAAACUAAUAAAACAGCAUUUCAGUAGGACUCCCUGCCUUUUUUUAGCAGUUGUGAAUUCCCGUUGUUUGUCCAUUUCCCCAUUUUUUAUAUCCCUUUAUUCCGUAAGUUUCCAUUGCAAAAUGUCAGGUAACUUCUAAUUCUUCAUUUUUCCCAACAUGAAAAACUUGACAGGAUCUGAAAAAAUAACAGGGCAGUUGCUUUUGUCAGCAAUUCUAACAGUGUCCAAACUAUCUUGCAUUUAAGUUAUAUUAUCUUUUUGGAAAAUCAUAGGAUUAUUUAAAGUUGAAUAUCAGAUUGUUUUUCUAACCUAUUUGUCUCCCUACCUUACCAUCCAUCAUUCUAUCACUUUGCCAUCAGCGCUGUCUGUAUGACAAAGGCGCUAAACAACCUUGAGAUAAUGUAUGUUGUGAUUUGGCGCUAUACAAAUAAUAUUGAAUUGAAUUAAACUGUGAAGAAACUUAAAUUACCCCAACAAAAGCACAAUUUCUUCCUCUUUGAGCAAAGCUAGGAAAUCACUCAUCAUCUCAUACAAAGCUGGGUACAAAAAAUAUAGAAUAACACCAGCCUUACUAAUCUUUGGAAUAGUUCAAGAUGAGUUUAUUGCACUCAUAUCAAUUCCCUGUUCAAUUAGGCAUAAUGGGGAUUACAUAGGGGAGUCAAGUCAGAUUGAUUAAACUGCCAAGUACCUGCAAUAAAACAGGCAUGUCAGGGAUUUCAUCAAUCUCCUGUAUUAUUACUUUUAUUAUAUUAUUAUAUUUUCAAGUUUCCUUGAAUCAUGUUCACACUUUAUUUCACACUUUAUCGUGUUUUUGAUGCUUGCUGACAACAGCGUCGGAGGAAUACUGCUGAUUUUCUGAGUAUCGAUUAGACUUAAUUGAGGACAGCUUGUUUUUGCUUUUGAAAUCCAGCAGGACUGCUGAUGCUGGCCUUUUAAGAAAAGUUCUGAAUGCUUUUCACCUAGGUGAAUUAUUCACUGCUGUUGACUGCACCAGUCCUUUGCUCUUCACUUAUGAAUGAAGGGCUGUGAUGUGGCGCGAGAUUCGCCCCUGAUUCUCGGAACCUCACGUUGACAUACAGACAUUUGGAGGUCAGCGGAAUUACUUUAUGUUCCCGAUCAUACUAAUCACUCAGGUUGUUCUUUAUUUCAGUGCAUGUUGAAGCUUUGAAGUUAUUUAUGCAUGGGAAGAUGUCAUAUCACAAUUGACUUCACAGCUAUUACGUCCAUCAAACGGAGUAAUUGACUGAGACAUUAAUCAUCCUCACACAGCUGUCAUAGCAGCAGUCAGUCAGACUAAAUAUAAUACAUCUGCAGGUUACAGCCUCCUUACAGGUUUCUUGAUUAUCAAGCACGUGCUGAACUUUUCAAAACAAACCUUUUACCCAAACGCCUCCUUCUGUAGUUAAUUUUCCCUCCAUGCAGAUAAUUCAAUUCAAUUUUAUUUGCCAAAUCACAACAUGGAUUAUCUCAAGGCACUUGUGAGGUCGAGACCACACAAAUAUUACAGAGAACAGUUCCCACAAUGAGCAAGCACUUGGCGUCCUUUACACCAGGUAAUUAGACAACACGGCUAUGAUGAUGUCAUUGACAUUCUCACCUCAAUUUAUAUAUCGUUUACAGCUCUAAAAUGUCUUUGAGCAUCUUAAAGUCUGAGAAAAUCAUCUAAGAUUGGAGAAUAAAGGAUUAACGGAAAGACAGAAAUAUUUAGAAGCUUCUGUUAGAGUGGAUCUUGGUAGAAAAGAAGAAAAAACUAUUAUUAAAAAUACUAGGUGUCUAUAGGGACAUCAUUCAAAUACAGCAGAGAAACUAUUAUAGUCAUCCAGUCUGGUGCAGCUCAAUCACAACCACUCUGGGCACCUAUGUCAAAAACAUAUUUAUAACCUUUGUUAGGAUCAAUACAGGAAUAGCUUGAGCGAUGAAAGAAUUGAAAGCCGUAUACCACCCACAUUGCCAAACAGUCUCAAAGCUGCCUUUAUCUAGAUCUGUCAUUUAUAACUGAGUUUAAUAUCAAAAUAAAAUGUCGCUGUGACUACAUUGUGUAGGGAAUUUAAAACAAAGUUCCUGCCGGUUGUUGGGGGGCCAUAUGUGGAGACUCAAUAGCAAUUGUGCCAAACCACACACUGGAGAACAACUUUGCGGGGUAUUUAAAGUUUGCCUGGAAAUGUCACUUGUACAGAUGGUGUUGAAAAUGAAGCAGACAGCAGGUAGUGACAUGAUGAAGCCGUGACUGGGAAGUGGUGAUGCAGGGACUAGUAAUAUGGGAUACGGUUGUAAUAACAUUGUGGACUGCAUCACUCUGCUUGGACUCUUUGAGACCAUAAAGAUGGAAACACACAAACCUGGACAGGCCAACUU